rnacentral:rRNA from 1 species
AGAGUUUGAUCAUGGCUCAGAUUGAACGCUGGCGGUAUGCCUAACACAUGCAAGUCGAACGAGGUAGCAAUACCUAGUGGCGGACGGGUGAGGAAUACGUAGGGAUCUGCCCUUAAGUGGGGGAUAACCCGGGGAAACCCGGAUUAAUACCGCAUGAUCUCGCAAGAGCAAAGAGGGGGACCGCAAGGCCUCUCGCUUUUGGAGGAACCUACGUCGGAUUAGCUAGUUGGUGAGGUAAUGGCUCACCAAGGCGACGAUCCGUAACUGGUCUGAGAGGAUGAUCAGUCACACUGGGACUGAGACACGGCCCAGACUCCUACGGGAGGCAGCAGUGGGGAAUAUUGGACAAUGGGGGCAACCCUGAUCCAGCCAUGCCGCGUGAGUGAUGAAGGCCCUCGGGUUGUAAAGCUCUUUUGGCGGGGACGAUGAUGACGGUACCCGCAGAAUAAGCCCCGGCUAACUUCGUGCCAGCAGCCGCGGUAAGACGAAGGGGGCUAGCGUUGUUCGGAAUUACUGGGCGUAAAGCGAGUGUAGGUGGUUGUUCAAGUUGGAUGUGAAAGCCUUGAGCUCAACUCAAGAAAUGCAUUCAGGACUGAGCGACUAGAGGACCGGAGAGGAUAGUGGAAUUCCCAGUGUAGUGGUGAAAUACGUAGAGAUUGGGAAGAACACCAGUGGCGAAGGCGGCUAUCUGGACGGUUUCUGACACUAAGACUCGAAAGCGUGGGGAGCAAACAGGAUUAGAUACCCCGGUAGUCC